GCGAAUUGACAUCGACCGGCUCGGCAACUGGUGCUUUUUUCGAGAUUAACCAGUGGCACCUCGGCUCCUGGAACAACUAUAUUGCCAUUCUCCCCGUAAAAUCCAGGGCCACUAUCACUGUGUGCGGGUACGUUUUGUGAGUUUGACAUGUUUUGACCUGAAAGCAAAAAUACUUGAUAAGAACAAGCGUGAAAUAAUGUGUGUUAUGAGAAUUAGCACUGAACAAUCACUGUUAUCUUUAGCCCCACGGUGAGCGCCAAACUGUUUACUCUAAAAUUCGAGUAAUAAUUAAACUUAUAUUGUGGUUUUAAGGAUAUGUGAUUCAAUCCAAUGUCAAUUGAUAAACAACGAAUUAAGUAGAUAAAUUAGAGAAUAAAUUAAAUCAAAUCAGUAUGCUAGUCGAAUUCCGACCUCGACUUAUGGUAGUCUCGAGGUGUAACAAUAAGAAUAGCAAAUGUUAAAGCAACUCUGAUGAACAGUAAAGCGAAAUAGCAAGAAAGCAAUUAGUGUAUAUAUUCUUCUUAGUGAACUAUGAUGAUUAAAAAUGAAUGGGAUCCCUCUUUAUAUAAUAGGGGAGUCUUAAAUAAGGUACACUUCUAAUUAUAGUAUGAAAUCAUAUUUGACAACUGAUUAACCGCUGAAGAUCAAUUCGUUCCGAGAUUCACGCCACGAUUCUCGAUCAACUGUGGAUAUUUCGCCUUUUCCGUUAUCAAGCUACACCGAUAUCACUCGAAAUCUGCCUCUCUCCGAUCUGCAAUCGAGGUCGACCUCGGCAUCAUAGCUCUUCGACGUGACCUUCCUAUCUUGACCAAAGGAUGAAAUCGGGGCUACCGAUUUCCACCGUAUACAACAACCACGCUCUCUUUGCCUCAUCUAUAACUGUAUUCUGAAUUUACGAAUUUAACCUUGAACUUUUAGAUAGCGGCUGAAUUAAAAAAACCCCACUUAAGAUAAUUGAAAAUACAAUCUUUGUAAGUUGUUAAAUAAAGAAACGAUUAGGAGUACGAUUAGUUAUAGGUUGAACCUCAGAUACCUUAAUUUCUUGCGAAAAAGCUUUUAAUAGUAUAAGAAUUUCCAUGAGCAAGCUUCUAUAAAAGAUUUCUGGUUAAGAUAUAUGUAAAUAUUUCAAGACUAAAGGUAAAAUUUUGAAUAUGAAAGCUAAGACCACAACCUGUUUUUAUACUUAUUUUAGUAGUAUUACAGUUGAAAAUAUGAAAUAUGUUAACGAGAGAAGCGAGGAUGGUCAUUUCCAGAUAAUUAAUAUAGAGGGAAAUUUGUUAUAAAUAUGGUCAAACUCUCAUUCUAAGAACCUGUGACUUAUUUCAUUUCAUGACUUCGAGUAGGUUAGUUAUUGAUUUUCAUAAGAGAAGGAAGAUUUUUGCCACAAAAGAAGAUUUGAAAAGCAGUUGAUUUUUUUGGGUAUACUUAUUUUUUUCAGGUAUGGGUUGCAAUGUGAUUGGGCAUGAUUUGGAGUGGCAUUUUCAAGUUCGAACUGCUGAUUAUUAGAACUUGGGUAAGUAUUUUUUAAAACUUCACUGUUGGGGUGCUAGUGAAAGACAAAAUGAAAGGGAAGAGUGUAUUGAGGGAAGGUGGUGAGAUGUCAUGUCAUGUCAUGUAACAUUCAUCUCAUCCAAAUGUUAUGCCACGUGGGAUGUUGUUGGCCAUGAGGAAAUGGUCAACUGCCAGGGAUAUCUUUAACAACUUUGUUGAAGGCAAGGAUAUUUUAAAAGUGGAGGGUAAAUCUAGCCCUUUUCCCUUUAAGAAAUGGCAAGUAUAGUAGAUCACAGGUAGAUCGGAAAAAUGCAUGAUGUCAUGCUAAAAUAUUGUUAUUUUGGAUUAGGGGUGUCAAAUGGACGGGUUAGAUCGAUUUUGGGCGAGUUAAAUUGGAUUGAAUCAAUAAUUGGACAAGUCAUUAGAAAAAUGCUUGAUGUCAUGCUAAAAUAUUGUUAGCUUGGAUUAGGGGUAUCAAAUGGGCGGGUUGGAUCGAUUUUGGGCGGGAUAAAUUGGGUUGAAUCAAUAGUUGGACGGGUCAAUUACUUGGGCUAAGAUCGGUUAAAAUUCGGGUCAUAGCUCAACCCGCCUAAUUCUUUUCAAGCUUCACUUAAUAAAUGUUGUCUUAUGAAUUGUAUAAUUGGUAAAUAAGACUUUUUUUUUCUUUUGUUAUAGUCAUAUAUAACAUAUAAAAAAAAUUAUUUCUAAGAUAUUUUGACAAAGUUACUCCUGGAUUAAUUUGGGAUAAAAAUUAGCCCAACUUUAAAUAGGUUGAGAUGGAUUGGGUCAAGAUAAACUAAGUUUAAUAAAUUAGCGGGUCAAUAACCAGCCCAACCUUGAACGGAUUGGACGGAUCAUUUGGGCUUGGGCGAAAUUUGACAGCCGUAGCUUGGAUAUAAGCAUAUACCUCUAGUGGGGUUAGGUACCUUUUGUACGACGAGAUUCUAUCUCUCGAGAAAAUGUAGUUAAGAUUUCCUUUUAUCCUUCGGAAUCGUGUUGAGCGAAAAGAAUGUAAAUCUGUCCUCACGUUGGUCCAUAUUCUAGAAACAAAGGUAUCCAUUUAAUCGUGAUGUAUCAUGUAAAUCUGUCCUCUCGUUCUCACUGGCCCGAAGCCACUUUAAUAUUUAUUGCUUUCUUACUUGUUCUUCAUUCUAUAACUUGGUAUUGGCCAUAAAGAGCCUUGUUUAAUCAUAUCUUAACUGUUAUCCCAUUCCUGACUGCCCUCGAUAGCUCGAGCUCGACCCAGACGUCGACCCCGAGAUCCCCCAUCGACCAGUCCUACGCCCGGGCAGCAAGCCUCUCAGUUUGAUUACUGCCUCGUUUUAGCUUGCAUUUCAUCAUUGAACCUCAUCUUCCUAGCAUCAUAUGCUCUAACAACUAGAAAAAAAGUAGAUCACGUAUUUUUAGAAUCCCAUUUUCAAAUUUAAUUGUUGUUACCAUUUUCACGGUAAACAGUUUGGCGCCCACCGUGGGGCUAAAAAUAAUAGUCAUUAUUUUCUUGUUGUUUUCAUUGCUCAAACGUAAGUUAUCUUUCACACUGUUUCUUGUCCAAGAUCUCUUGAUUUCAGGUCAAAAUGUCUGGCUCGGCAAAUAGGGUUGAGAACAACUACCUCGAAAAUCACGGCGAAAAUGGUGUGGCUGCUCUAGUCGUUGGCACGACGCCGCGGAACCCCGAUAGCGCAUCUGGGCCGAUCCCAGCGGAUACGGGCUCACAAGACGCGCAGCAGGUUGGCGAAACCUCGCACACCGACGGGAGUAUACAGCAUAUCGAACGACAGGAAGCCCAAAAAACCCCGGCUCGAGAAGCACAGGAAGUGAGUCUUCACGAUAUUUUUGAAAUGUUGCAGGCACAAUAGUUGGCUAUUGCUCAGUUGCAAAGUCACCCGGAGACGCCCAGCACAGUAGCGCCGGAAACAGCUCCCCCCGCCAAACAAAUAUCCGAGAGAUCAAGCGACGACAAAUUGGUAACCAACCCUGCCACAACAAAGAUGCUCAAGGAUCUCUCCCAAAUGAUCGAGUCAGGUUCAUGGAAGUCCAUGCAACGACCGUCCCCCGAGGAAGCGGUCCCGAAACCCAUUUCAAAGAAGUCCGGAACGCCAUAACUCCCUAAGUACAACGGGACCUUAGAUCCCAACGAUCACAUCACUGCUUGUACGUGCGCAGGAAGAGGCAAUGACCCACGAGAUGAUGAGUCCGAGCUCGUCUUGUCGAAGAGGUUCGGGGAAACACUCUCAAAGGGAGCCAUGAUGUGGCGUCAUGACUUAGAACCCGACCUCGCAAACUCGCUUAACACGCCGGCAGAUUCCUCCAUAGAAACACGCGCCGAUGCCAUCGAAGUAGCGAUGAGAGAGCCCAACACAUCCAGGGCCGAACAAAGGGAGAGUGAAACGCCACGGGAAUUCACACCUCAUUCCCUGAUAGAACGAACGAGAUUGCCCCCGGUCUCGGAUGACUGGGCAGCACAGGCCUUCACCCAAAGCCUAAACAAACCAAGCCCAACGGUUUCAGAGCAGUUCAAAUAAGACUUGGUUGAGUACCCAGCCAAUAUAUGGCUAGAUGCCCGAAUCAGAGCCAUGGAUGACCAUCUGGGAGCCUCCUCGGGCUUAGUAUACCCAAGCAGCUUCCCGACAAAGAAACUAAUGCCAAAUAGAUGGAGGUACCACCCGUAUGCCGCGGAUAGGGGCAACGCCCCGAGACGUAAUCUACCUCACAAUGAUCGGGAAAUGGCCCGAGGGCAAUAUCCUCGAGGAAUCUCCAACAAAGCCAAAUUCGACGAGGCAUGGCCGGCAGGGGCACCUUGCCCCAUCAGAGUACGAUUUCAGCAUCACUAUACCAAAUAUCGUGCUCACCAUAAGCAAAACCAGGGACGCCAAAUGGCUCAGAUCUAUUUGACCGAGUCCCCCUCAAAGUAACCACAACCUGGCGCGGGAACCGCAGGGCGCGCAUGACCACGGGGUCAAAGAUGGCCACCAGAUCAGGAGGAAAACAGUCGUGCUACUCAAUAAAAAUCGCCGCCGAGUACUGUCGAGCAAUCAGGCUCGAAUUCAGCCUCGAGGAAGGAAGGUAAGUAGGAAGAACGAAGCAAACUAGCCGCGACGUAUUACCACGAUGGUGGUGGAACGGCGACACCCUCCAAGUACUCAUAAAAUGGAAAGUAAAAAUGUUCGCCACCAGGGAAAAACGGGUCCAGGGAUAUAUUCCAGAGGACAUCCUUACAUCUAGCAAAAAAGGCACCGAGACCUCGCCUCGGCCUCACACUGACACACUAGUAACCUUCUCCCUUACAAAUAAAACAUAUGCUCAUGAAUUCAGGUGGUUCUAUCAACAUACCAACGAUGCCGGACCAAGGUCAAUAGGGAAGCUCGUACUGACAAACCAAAUUGCGCUCGCAUCUCGAAUCUUUGACGGAUUCCAAACGGCGAUCACUAUAACAAGCAGGAAAGCCAUUCUCUCGAUACACCCGUCUAAGCUCGUACUGGAACACCGAGUUCUAUACUGUCAAAGAAGGCGCAAGGAACGAAUGUCUUAUUCAGAUUGCCACCGGUGCACCGCCCAGAGAUAGCUUCGAUCCCACUUCGCCAAAAGAAUGAAAUCCCACGCAAGGGGCGGAAUUAGAACCAUCGACAUGGAGCAAUACGCGAUAAGGGGAAAUUCCUCACCAUUUGACGCGUCACCGGCAUCAAUACCUCCACCCUCGAAAGGAUCAAAGGGUAAGCAAACCACAUCUUUGGCCAAAGAUUUAUUAAACACGACGGAGGGCUUUACUAGGGCCCACACCCCGAGAUGACCGGAACAUGCCAAAUCUCGAAACGUGGCCUACACACCCCGUAGUAAGGAAGAACUGCUUUGCUCCUUUGUUAUUUUUUCACUAACCUACAUGCAGACAAUCGGUCGGGACAUUCGGAAGUUCUAACUCCACCCAGAGAUCCUAAUGCCUUAACAGAACAUGCCGCGCUCUUUCCCCUCGGUCGGACUUCCGCCCCAAAGAGGGUCUCACCAGCAAGGUUAUUAGCGGAGCAACAUACCCCCAGAGGAGGAUCUGACAAGAUCACAGGCCUUCUUCUAAAGUCAAACGACGAGCGAUGAUCUUCUUUUAAGGGCGCCAUCCCCUCGGAAGGACCGGGGAACGGCAAACUGAGUUUCAAUAUGAAAUGAUGCACCGGGCCGAACGGUCCAAGGAGCCGCGCCUGCGCAAGCCGAGCUCGCAACAACAAAAUACCAUGAAUUUACGCCAAGUAAUAAAGAAUAUAUUUCGGCAUCUCGUGUUCCAGAAAAGGGGAUUUCAACAUGCUCACGGCAAGGGCCUCUCCACCAAAUGCGUCCCGAAAUACUCGGAGAUUUGGCAUCAACAAUUCGGCACCCGCACGACCCUAGGGUCGGAACUUCGGGCUCAUACGACCCCCAACGAGGCAACUCCGAGCUCAUGAAUAGUGUCCAUCGAUCCUAAGCAAACUCGAUGACUCGGAGACUGUCAUUAAUCGCCAUACACUGGAAAAACUGAAACUGUAAGACCUCGAGCGGGCAUACUCGGUAUAACCAGAUCUAUUAUACAUAGCAACACAAACUCUAAGACCUCAACAGUCAUGACAAACUGUAAGACCUCAACAAGCAUAAAACUCAAAAUUUCAAAAUUUAGGCUAUACGUCGCAUUUGUAAGAAUCCCGAAAGGGCAUACCCUCGGUGUAGACGCCUAAACUAUCGCUCGGGAUCAAAAAUGGCUCUGGCCAAACACAUAUGACUACGGUCAAAACAGCUGAUACAGCCAAAUUAAUGCCACUCGGGGAUGCCCGACCGUCGCUAAACAAAAUCGUAGGCCAUUACUCCGAAUAUACUUCAGAAAGAACCGGUUAAAACCGUCUUCCCUCAACAGGAAAACGAGCUUCGACCAUGUCAGCUCCAAAUUACAAGGCUUCGACCUACUCAACCUACGAGCUAAGAGCCUUCCAAGGUGCUCAAACAUCGCCGAUAACGACUUGAAAUCGAGGUUCUUCCGGAACCGACGACGGGUCAGACAAAAUCAUUUCAAAAACACCUUAACGAGAGGAAUACAAAGCCUACAAAAUGAUUACGGGAAAAAGCACAAGAGCCAUUGUCGCCAGCCAAACAAGCCUCUGGGCCACACACUAAAAGGUCUCAACGACCAAACAACGUAAGAGCCAUUGUCGCCAGCUUGAAAAUUGACAACUUGAGGAUUAAAAUAAGCUCGAGUCGUAACCCAAUUCGGAAACCGGAUCCAAAAUAGUUAACUACAAUAUGCCUAAGGGCACGACAUAAAUACCAUUAUCGUCAGCCAAAUGAGCCUUCGGGCCAUGCACCUGUAAUGUCACUUCGACCCGAAGCACAAAAAACCAUCAUCAUCCACCCAUGCAGGCAGGAAAGAACUUAAGGGUCAAUUAAAGCUCGAAUCGCAAUGCAACUCGGAGACUGGACCCAAAAUAGUUGAAACAACAAACGACCAAGGGCAAAGAGAUAAAAACCAUCGCCAUCCGCCCAUGCAAGCACGAAAAAACUUGAGGGUCAAUUAAAGAUCGAGUCGCAUCGAGACUCGGAGACUGAACCCAAAAUAGUGGAAAUAACAAAUGCCUGAGGGUGAGAAAUAAAAACGAUUAUCAUCCGCCCACAUGGGCACAGAAGAUUGAAGGUCAGGCAAGCUCGAGUCAAGGCCUAACUCAGAGAAUAAGCCUAAACAACUCGGCAAAGCGCGGAGGCCCCAAUCCCUGCUCGCGUCAAAAAUCACACCUAAAAGCCUUCGGGCCUACCUAAUUAGCUCCGGACCCACGAGGUUCCCGCUAAACACCGAAACCAGCCCACCUGGUCCAAAGCAAUACGGAAAGAGAUAUAAAGGAGGUAAAGCUUCAAGUUUUCUCUCAUUUUAUAUAUGCGCGAAAGGCGCGCUCUCCGUCUACAAACAUGCUCUGCAAACAGCAAAUACAAGAUGGCAAAAUCUACACUCCACUCCAGAAGGCUACGGCCAGCCGGCCGCAGAUUCGCUCUCCAUGACAUCAGCAAGAAGUUGCCGAGCAUCACGCUCAUCCGCCCUUGCUUGAGCCAAUUCCUCUGAGAGAACGAAACCCCUUGUGCCGAUCUCCUCAAGCACCUCUCUUCGGGAUCUGCAACGAACAUAUUCCUUGAUCCUCUUCUCCCGGUCGAGGGCCCGCUUAAACUUGGCUUGCGCAUCAGCAGCGUCCUUCAUACGAAUCGCCAUCUUCUGAUCAGCCUUGGUUCGGCUUAAUGCCGCUUCAGCUCGGGCACCAAUAAUCUCAGCCCUGAUCUUCGAGAGAUCAGAUUCGAGUUUCCCAAUCAUAUCUGCUUGAACUAUAUCGUUGUUACGAGCCGAGCAAAGUUGGGCCUCGAAGGCAGGAACCUUGGCCAAAGCACCACUCUCCUUUAAAGCUUGAGCUUGCACCUAAGCCCUUAGCUCACCACAAGCAUUCCUGACGCGGUCGGUGUCGCCCUUGAGGUACUCCAAGGCCUCCGUCUUUUUUUGCAGCUAACAUAGGAAAAAAGGGUUAACCUUAAGGGCCAAGAAGAGCGAAGCACAUGCUACGAAAGGUUACCUGCUCCAUCAAAUAGCUCUCAUAAUUCGAGCUCUAGUACACCUCAUAUCGCUAAUACAACAACUCAACCUCCUUCUCGCUAGGGAGCCUAAGGGACACACCCUCAUCUAGAACUUUCCGAAUCCUGGCUCCUUGAUGGAGCAGCUCAGACCUGAGCCUGUCACAAGCCAGCAAAAGGAAAACUCGAUGAAGAAAGGAGGACGUGAAAUAUAGAAGAACUACACCUAAACUCAGUAUGAAGUGAAGCCGGCGGAUAUCCUCGAAGUCAGAGCACACUCAUGUUGAUCCUGGCCCUUAGGCCCUAGAAGAACCAACCUCGGGCAAAGCAUAUUCGCUCGGAGGAACCGCCGUCUAGGAAUCAAACACUCUGGGAACGGUAGGCUCGAACGAUGCAUUCUCCUCAAAGAUACGAGCUCGUUCAGCUCCACUAAAAGCUCUAUCACACUGCAGGUACGGAUCCCAUUUGUCGCCAUCGUCCCUCAGCUUGGAGGUCGAUGAUUCUUUCCCCCCCUCUGGAAGAGCACAUCUUCCCCCCAAGGAGUCACUCGAUACCUGCAACGACAACACCAGUGCUAAAGAAAAAGGAAAGUGUCAUCUCAAAUAUACGAAGGCCAAGGUAAAGACAUCGUAUGCACACAACUUGGAAUUUCUCUUCCCAACUGUUAUAGGACAAAGCUCGCCACCUACGCUCAUCGCAGGUCGAAUGGGUCACCAACCUCCGAACCCAACCGGGCAGAUCGAGAACUUCGUCCGGCGUCCAUGAAGUUGCUGCAAAAGGGGAGAAAAAUAGUUACUCAACAGACUUUCGCUAUAAGCAAAACCUGAGAAAGCGUCAGACAUUCCACUCACGAGCAUGAUUCCAACCCUCAGGAAACGACAUAAGCUCCACAGGGACAAUGUCAGCCGUCCGGACCCAGAUGAAUCGACUAAUCCACUCUCGGUCAUCACCUUCUUCAUCAUCAACAACAAAAGGCGUGGACGAACGACACCUCAAGGUUAACAGGCCUCGGUGAUGAAAGGGCCGAUACUGAUAAGGUGGCUGAGCGAGAAUUCAAGACCGGCAUUCUCCGCAAAAAACCUCAUCAUCAACACCACUUGCCAGAACAAUGGAUGUAUCUGCGCCAGGGUAACCCGAUACUUUAUGCAGAAAUCAUGCACGACCCUGUCAAGGGGGCCAAAUGCGAAGGGAUAUAAGUACACGCUUAAUAAUUCGUCAACAAAGUCCGUAAUGCUCUCACCCGGGGAAAUCGCCUGCAGCGUUAUCUCCUCGCUCGAUCCUCAAUAUCUCCUCACCAUCUCCAGACGUUCAUCUCUUAUCAAAGACACAAUUUUCGGAGGGAACUCCUGCGGAUCCAGAAUGCUGAGCAUGGAACUCUCCCCUCCUUGUCGGGCUGACCCCGAAGUAGUUUCCAUGACUAUGGUAGAAUUGACAGACUAAAGCAGGAAUUUGUGCCAAUGCUUUUUGCACCCGAAGAAAUGAAGAACCCUAAGCUAAGGUGGAAGGGUAGCUAUCUAAAAUAGUGAGGCCUUUUGAAGAAGCCGAAGCCGCCCCACAUGUAUGCGAAAAAUAGCAACGAUUCACCUAUUCGGAGUGAGCCCCAGGAGACCAACAGUCCCGACAUAGAUCCUGAAGCAGUACCCGACCGUAGAGGCAUCCAUCGACAAGAAGUUAGGCCUUAAAGAGCCAAAUGUAUUGUCUCCAGUCUCGAGGUAGUGCCCGACCUUGAGGAUCUCCGCCAAAAAAGAGAAGUCAGGCUUCGAGAAGCCUUAAACGCCAUCAUUUAACUCGAGGCAUUAACCGAUCUCAUGGUUCCCCUUUUUCGAAAAAAAUAAGCACGCGAAGCUCCGGUUAUGAAGGUUCCAUGAAGGCUCGAGGCAGCGCCUGAGCACAGGCAGCCCCUCAAUAGAAGUCCAUCCCCUACACUUUAGGAAGCUAUCGACAUCAAUUUCAAAAGAGACCCCCAAGUACCCAAAGCUGACCUUCACUCAGGUCACCAUUCUCGAAAGCUCCAAAACUUAGCAUACUGUCUCCAUGCAACUCGGAGGGCUUGACAGCCCAAACCUAUUGGACCAGUCCGGGCCUGGUCCGAGGUAUGAUGAUGGGUUUGGAAAAGAGCCAUGCCAAUCAACAGAGGAUCGGAAAGAACGCUUGCAUUUGUGUAAGAUAUCAGCGGUCGACAAUAAAGGAAAACAUUCAAAGACCUCAAAGGGCAUGUGAGCAUGCAGUUAUAAGGCAAGAAUCGAAAGCAGAAGUCAAUGAAGUAUAUUCAUAUUCAUAAAAAUCCAUCUACAACAGCCCUCGAGGGGCACUUACAUACAAUUACAAAAGCCUACAGAGGUUCUCUACACCAAAAAUGGAGGAACAGAAGGAUGUAGAUGUGAUGAAACCUGAGAGCCCAGUCCAUCCAUGAAAAUCCAUCUCCGGUAUCAGCAUUCUCGAGCACCGCCCCCUCGAGCAUGCGUCCUCGAGGGCAAUUCCUUCGACUAUCGCCUCCUCUAGGUUCCCAGCUCAAUCCCCUGGGGGAUUCUUGCUGGAGAAGAUGAAGAAGAAGAAAAUGAGGGGAUGCAGAGGAGACAGAGAAAAGAGAUACGGCCCGCCAAAGCCAAAGGUUGAAGAUUCAGCGUGCCCCAACCUCAAUGGCCGGUAGUGCCAUUUUAUCCCUUGGGAAAGAAAAAACCCAAGGGAUGAAGUGCCACACCAGGCCUAGGUAGGAGAGUAAGAAGCAGUGCAUAGUCCGAAUGACUGUCUACAUAAGGGGAAAACUGACUCCCUAUCUGUCAUCAUCUCGGUCCAACAAAAACAAUAACGACAAACAUAUCAACGACCAUCGUAGCGAUCGGACAGCAUGAUCAUGCUCGACAAAGGGAAGCCCCAGCAAGAGUCCACAACACAAUCUACGAGAGCUCCAUCAAACGGCCUUGAGGCAACGAGUCCCAAGCAUAAUGUUCAGAGAUAAACGAAGAUGAUAAGAGGAAAUGGGCAAAUGAGUCAAUGAAGGUACUGGGAUAGAAAAAUCAGCGCCAAGGCACCCCCAUUUAUAGGGGUAAUGACACGAUCAUCAAGGCUUCGAAAGAUUGACCGAUGGAUGCAAUUACUGCGCUCUUGAAAAAUUGAAUCGAUGGUAGUACACUCACCUCGAAGAACGGGAAUCGGCAGCGUAUUGAAUGAUGUCAAAAUGCACAAGUCCACAGGGCACCCCGGUUGUCAUAAAAGCCCGCGCCACAGGUUGCAUCAUUGGUGCGACAUCACCGUAAGAAGCUCGAGGAGUCAGGUGUCAGAAUCAUUUCCCAUCACUUCAUUCUAGGAAAUACGGAGACUAUAUGUAUGCAGCGAAAUCAGAAGACUCGAUUUCUUGCUAUUGAGCCAUUUCGGAAGAAUGCCUCGAGACCCCGAGGACGUGAAGCCACGACCGAGUUCCCUCCCUCGGGGCUCGUCAAGGCCCGACUCAAAGAAGACGGUGAUCGAAGCCAGAACAGAAGGGGAAGCUCCCAAGGCAUACAACUAAGUUUGACAGGCCGGCCCAUCCAGAGCCUACGCCAAAGCAUCGCAUAUAGCCGUCACAUCUCCAUACUUUAUAAUUAAUGGCCAUGUACUAUAGCCUGGUUCCCCUCCUAUAUAAAGGGAACCCUUACUACCUUGUAAUGGGCUGAUGUUUCUCCAACUUUCUCUCCACAAGAUCAAUAAUCUCUCUCUCUCUCUCUCUCUCUCUCUCUCUCUCCCUCUUCUUUCUAACUUGCUCGUUCUCAUUGGCUCAAGGCCACUUUAAUAUUUAUCGCUUUCUUACUUGUUCUUCAUUGUAUCAUUUGGUAUUGGCCAUAAAGAGCCUUGUAUAAUCAUAUCUUAACUGUUAUCCCAUUCUCGACUGUCCCCGAUAGCUCGAGCUCAACCCAAACGUCGACCCCAAGGUCCCUCAUCGACCAGUCCUAUGCUCGAGCAGCAGGCCUGUUGGUUUGAUUACUGCCUCGUUUUAGCUUGCAUUUCAUCAUUGAACCUCAUCUUCCUAGCAUCAUAUGCUCUUAUAAGUAGCAUAAAAAUAGAUCACGUAUUUUUAGAAUCUCAUUUACAAAUUUAAUUGUUGUUACCAUUUUCAAGGUAAACAAGUACAUAUGAUUAGUACAUGACUAGCACAUAAAACACGUAUUCUGCCAUACAUAUAUUCUAUUAUGUUAUACUAGCAUGUGAAAGAUAUCUACAACUGUCAGACCUCCUUUUUCCUACCCCUGGAAGGGGUACAAGGGAAUUUUUUCCAAUUUAAGUGAAGAUCGAAACAAGAUUAUUUAUAUUAAAUCAGAGUCGCCACUUGGGAUAAUUUAUGGUGUCCCAAGUCACCAGUAUAAAAUCCCGAAUCGAGGAAGUUGACUCUUAUUUAUGGUCUGCGAACACAGAAAUUCAGGUAAGGAAUUCUGUUAACCUGGGAGAAGGUGUUAGGCAUUCCCGGGUUCCGUGGUUUUAGCACGAUCUCUUUGAUCAUACUUGGCUUAAUCAAAUUGUAUAAUUACUUAUUUAAGAAACCUAUGUUCUUUACCUCUUUUAAUUAAGAAAUUAUCCUAAGACGAGUCAUGCUAUGUGUACUCAUUUCGUUUGGCGCAUAAAAAAAUCAUGUCAUGCGUACGUGUCUACAAUUAAUCACGCUUUAUUAUUGUUAAGAAAUUUUAGUCGAAGUUGAGCGAACGCAUACCCCGAUUUUGUUUUUAAGAUCGUAAUUAUGUCACGCGAACGUGUACACAAUCACGAUAAUAGAUUAAGUCGCACCUAAAGCACACUAGCGAUCAUUAAAAAUUACUAAUUUUGAGAUUAUUUAGAGAUCAUGAAUUAAGGAGUUAAUGCAAGAGGAGUAUGACUUAGCUAUCUAAAAUACAAGUAAUUAACGACUAAAAGGCAUGUUGGGUUAUUAGCAGCUAUUAAGGUAUUAUUAAUUUGCGUCUUUACGGCCAAGUGACUCGGUAUGCUCAUGCGAAUAGCGACAAGCUACAAGAGAAAUUGAUAGAGAAUACUAAGCGUUCACUUAAUAAAAGAACCAUGUGCAAGAUGACUUAACAAGAAACAUGCAAAUUAGAGACAUUAUAACACGAAACAAUAGGAUCACUUUUCUCGUUUUCAAACUCCUAUAAAUGGUGUUGUCCCUACUGUAAAUCCUAUCCCACACAAUUCUAAGUAUUUCAACAGCACAUUAUUUACCAAUAUCUCUGCAUAUUCAACAAAAAAAAGAAAAUGGCUCGAUCGAUGACUACAACCAUAGCUCAUGGAAGUUCAAUUUGUAAGACUCAACACUGACCCAUAAACAUGGUAUUGAAUAUUCAUUUCUUAAUUCUAAUAAAAUUCACUCAACUGAUCCGUUUAGCAAAUAAGAAUGAACUCUAAACCACAAAUAUUACUUCUAAAUUGCAGUUGCAAAGAUAACAAGAGAGGUUGAAAAUUACAUCACGACAAUCCUCAAACUAAAAAUGAAUCACCACAGAAACAUAUAAGCAGUGCACAAGUGAUAUAAUCUCAGCAACAUUAUACAUAAAGCUAUGCGCAAAAUAAAGAUCUAAAGUAGAAAAUGAACCUUGAGUGAAGCAAUAUCAGACUUGAAAUAUACAGAGGUCCUUUAUAGAAGUUUGAAUAACAGCUACUACAAAACGUGAUAGAUCCGUGAUGGAAUGCCUCGUCGAAACCACGGACGGAACCUCGUCGUGAACUCAAAUCCCUCAAACAAACCCCAUUUGGAAGAGCGAAAAUUCAAAACUGGAAAGACGAAACAAACUUUUUUAUGUGUUUUGUUUUAUGGUUGUCUUGUGAGUUGGUUUUGGAUGUUAAAAUAGUAAAAGAAACUGGUUUUUGCCUGGAGCUUAGGACGGAAAGAAGACGGGAGUUUUUUCUUUGUCUGUUUUCGACAUCUCCUUCUCAGGUGCCCUCUAUUUCGUCUUCUCACUCCAUGGACCGCCGACCAUGGUGGUUACCGGACUUCCGGCCAAAUCCUUCAUCAGCGAUCCUAAUGGGAGACGCGAGAUGGGCUAGCGGCUGCUCUCAAGUUAAAGAGAGAGGGCGCUGAUAGGGGAGGGGGUCUCUAAGGUUCCUUUGUUUUUUUUUGAUUUUGUGAAGGUGGAGAAGAAAGGUUUAGGGGUGUUCUUAUGAUAAAGAAGAAGGUAAUGGUUGUCCUGUCUAGGUUCCCAUCUUCAGCUGCUGAAGGUUUGGGCGGAGAUGAAGAAAGGGGGGGGGGCUGAGAGGUGACUGGUUUUUCUAGGUGAGGUAUUCCGGCGGUUUAGGGUGGUUCUUUUUUAAGAAGAAGAUGAAAGGUUUAGGGUGUUUCUCUCAUUUUUGCUGAAGAAGAUUAAGAACGGGGGAGGGUUCUCAAUGGGUCCAAAACAGCGGAUGUCUUAUAUGUCUAGGGGUCUUUUUUGUAUUGCCGCUGAUCAGCUCCCUCUAGGUUAGAAUGUAUAGGUCUAGGUUU
rnacentral:lncRNA from 1 species